GAAAAAAAAGAACCCUGUAAAAUCUGCCCUCGAGAUGCCCCACCUCGCCGCACCUGCCUCUCCGCCGCCGGCUCCAAACCUUAUGUCCGACGCUCGCGAGGCUGCCUCCUCCUCGCCGCCGUCCGAAAGGGGGCGGAGGAAAGCGGUGGUGGUUGUUAUGGGCGCGACGGGCGCCGGAAAGUCCCGGCUUGCCGUUGACCUCGCGAGGCACUUUGCCGGCGUCGAGGUGGUCAGCGCCGACUCCAUGCAGGUCUACCGAGGUCUCGAUGUCCUUACUAACAAGGUCUCCCUCGAUGAGCAGAACGGUGUUCCUCACCAUCUCCUUAGCAUCGUCGAUCCUUCCGUGGAGUUCACUUGCCUAUUAUAGAAGAUAUAUUGGAUCGUGGCGGCCUGCCUGUUGUUGUUGGUGGCACAAACUUCUAUAUACAGGCUCUUGUUAGUCCAUUCCUCUUUGAGGAUAUGUCAGAAGAUAUGCAGGGUUGCACUUUAAGUGACCAACUUGAUGAUAUAGGCCUUGCCACGGAUGAUGUUAGAAGUGGGUAUGAACACUUGAAGGAGAUUGAUCCUAUUGCGGCACAAAGGAUCCACCCGAACAACCAUCGAAAAAUAAAACGUUACCUUGAGUUAUAUGCAACCACAGGUGCACUACCAAGCGAUCUUUUCCAAGGAGAAGCUGCAGAAGACAAGUGGGGACGGCCUACUAGCUCCAGAUUUGACUGUUGUUUCCUGUGGGUAGACGCCGAGCUUCAUGUUCUGGAUAAUUAUGUCAAUGAAAGAGUCGAUUGCAUGAUUAAUGCUGGCCUGCUUGAUGAAGUGCGCAACAUAUAUAAUCCAGGUGCCGUUUAUACCCAAGGUCUGCGGCAGGCCAUUGGGGUUCGUGAAUUUGAUGAGUUUUUCAGAUUAUAUUUUACAAAGAAAGAACCUGAUGAGAUAAAAGCUGGUAUGCUUGAUCUCCAUGAUGAUAAGCUGAAAAGCUUGUUGGAUGAAGCUGUCUCUCAGCUAAAAGCAAACACACGAAGACUUGUUCGACUCCAAAGACGGAGGCUACACCAGCUGAAUAAAGACUUCGGGUGGAAUUUGCAUCACAUUGAUGCAACAGAAGCAUUCCAAUGUACCACUGGUGACUCGUGGCACGUCAAGGUUAUAAAACCUUGCGCAGAUACUGUCAGAAGAUUCUUGUCUAACGAUACAACUUUGGCAAGUAAAGAUUCUACGAAUGAUGGUGGUGGAACUAGGUUGGCCUCAAGAGAGUUAUGGACUCAAUAUGUUUGCGAGGCCUGCGACAACCGGGUCCUUCGAGGGGCACACGAAUGGGAACAGCACAAGCAAGGCCGAGGCCACCGGAAAAGAACACAGCGUUUGAAGCGGAAGAGUAAGAUCAAGAGUACAUCGUCUGAAGCAGAAGUAUAACCAUAUGAACAUCAGUUGUAGUUUCGGUGUUGAUGGACCACCAUUUAGAUUGGUUUUGAGUCUUAUGGAGGAGACUGGGGAAGGGGAUCGAUAAGGACACGGAUCCAAACACUAGUUCUGAUCUUUAAAGGUGUGUUUGUAUGCUGCCUGACUUCAUAUCGCAGCAAACUCGAGUUCGUCUUAAUUUAUGCCCAUUCUGAACAUGUCUUCUAAUUGUUCAUG
rnacentral:rRNA from 1 species